rnacentral:rRNA from 1 species
GCAGCCAUGCCGCGUGUAUGAAGAAGGCCUUCGGGUUGUAAAGUACUUUCAGCGGGGAGGAAGGGGUUAAGGUUAAUAACCUUAGCCAUUGACGUUACCCGCAGAAGAAGCACCGGCUAACUCCGUGCCAGCAGCCGCGGUAAUACGGAGGGUGCAAGCGUUAAUCGGAAUUACUGGGCGUAAAGCGCACGCAGGCGGUCUGUCAAGUCGGAUGUGAAAUCCCCGGGCUCAACCUGGGAACUGCAUUCGAAACUGGCAGGCUUGAGUCUCGUAGAGGGGGGUAGAAUUCCAGGUGUAGCGGUGAAAUGCGUAGAGAUCUGGAGGAAUACCGGUGGCGAAGGCGGCCCCCUGGACGAAGACUGACGCUCAGGUGCGAAAGCGUGGGGAGC